ACCAGGGAGGAAGGGCAGAACCCAGGCCUGGGAGACGGAGGCUGGCAGGGGUCUCCAAGUCAGGCUUAUUUGAAGGGCUGGGGAAUUGGUGAGCAUAAGGGCACGAAAGCUUUCCCGAGUCUGGACCUAGCCGGAAGGUGGAAGAACUUGUAGACUUCCCUCUCAAGCUGCCCGGAAGGGUUCUCUGGAUUCUGAGUUAGGGGAGCGUCUAGAUUGACUCCUGCUUCCUGACCUGCCGUGUAACCUUUAGCAGACACACUUCACCUUCAGGGCGAGGUUUCCUAGCCCACCAAGCGGCAAGAGCCAGAGGACUCGGAGGAGCACCCCGGGAGAGCGCCUACGUCUCAGUCUAGCACUGUCUCGCCGGAAGGCAGUAUGACUGAGUAGAGUCAGACUCCAGGAGUAACCAUCUACACGUGCCUCGCAGAAGACCGGGGUUUCCUUCCAGCCUGAGCCACCCCAGCUUUGGGAUCUGAGCUGCCACCUAACCUCCUCGGGCCUCACUAUUUGCAUCUGUAAAAGCGAUUAGGCCUGUUCUCCUUAGGAACAGGCCUAGCACAAUGUCUGGCACCUAAUUUCAUUGAAGAUUUUUAAGCAGUGGAGUGACACAAUCUGAUUUAAAAUCAUUCUGCUAACAAUGUGGAUAAAAAAAAUGCAAAGGGCAAGAAUGCAAGCAGGAAGACAGGUGGGCCAGAGUCUACUCCAGAAUUUCUCAAAGAAUGGUCCAAGAAAACUGGGCAUCAAUAUCACCUGGGAUGCCUGAGAAAGAAGGGAGCUCCGUUGAAGUAGUUUGCGCCUUAUAAAUAUUUACUGAUUAAAACAAAAAGGAAAAUUUAAGGACAUCCAGGCGAU